rnacentral:rRNA from 1 species
UGGGGAAUAUUGCACAAUGGGGGAAACCCUGAUGCAGCAACGCCGCGUGAGUGAUGACGGCCUUCGGGUUGUAAAGCUCUGUCUUCAGGGACGAUAAUGACGGUACCUGAGGAGGAAGCCACGGCUAACCACGUGCCAGCAGCCGCGGUAAUACGUAGGUGGCGAGCGUUGUCCGGAUUUACUGGGCGUAAAGGGAGCGUAGGCGGAUUUUUAAGUGAGAUGUGAAAUACUCGGGCUUAACCUGAGUGCUGCAUUUCAAACUGGAAGUCUAGAGUGCAGGAGAGGAGAAGGGAAUUCCUAGUGUAGCGGUGAAAUGCGUAGAGAUUAGGAAGAACACCAGUGGCGAAGGCGCUUCUCUGGACUGUAACUGACGCUGAGGCUCGAAAGCGUGGGGAGCAAAC